rnacentral:rRNA from 1 species
UACGAAGGGGGCUAGCGUUGCUCGGAAUCACUAGGCGUAAAGGGCGCGUAGGCGGUCAUUCAAGUCGGGGGUGAAAGCCUGUGGCUCAACCACAGAAUUGCCUUCGAUACUGUUUGGCUUGAGACCGGAAGAGGUGAGUGGAACUGCGAGUGUAGAGGUGAAAUUCGUAGAUAUUCGCAAGAACACCAGUGGCGAAGGCGGCUCACUGGUCCGGUUCUGACGCUGAGGCGCGAAAGCGUGGGGAGCAAACAGG